UACAGAGGGUGCGAGCGUUAAUCGGAAUUACUGGGCGUAAAGCGCACGUAGUCGGCUUUGCAAGUCGGGUGUGAAAUCCCCGGGCUCAACCUGGAAACUGCAUCCGAGACUGCAUUGCUAGAGUAUGGGAGAGGGAAGCGGAAUUUCUGGUGUAGCAGUGAAAUGCGUAGAUAUCAGAAGGAACAUCAGUGGCGAAGGCGGCUUCCUGGACCAAUACUGACGAUCAGGUGCGAAAGCGUGGGGAGCAAACAGG
rnacentral:rRNA from 1 species